rnacentral:rRNA from 1 species
GACGAACGCUGGCGGCGUGCCUAAUACAUGCAAGUCGAACGAACUCUGGUAUUGAUUGGUGCUUGCAUCAUGAUUUACAUUUGAGUGAGUGGCGAACUGGUGAGUAACACGUGGGAAACCUGCCCAGAAGCGGGGGAUAACACCUGGAAACAGAUGCUAAUACCGCAUAACAACUUGGACCGCAUGGUCCGAGCUUGAAAGAUGGCUUCGGCUAUCACUUUUGGAUGGUCCCGCGGCGUAUUAGCUAGAUGGUGGGGUAACGGCUCACCAUGGCAAUGAUACGUAGCCGACCUGAGAGGGUAAUCGGCCACAUUGGGACUGAGACACGGCCCAAACUCCUACGGGAGGCAGCAGUAGGGAAUCUUCCACAAUGGACGAAAGUCUGAUGGAGCAACGCCGCGUGAGUGAAGAAGGGUUUCGGCUCGUAAAACUCUGUUGUUAAAGAAGAACAUAUCUGAGAGUAACUGUUCAGGUAUUGACGGUAUUUAACCAGAAAGCCACGGCUAACUACGUGCCAGCAGCCGCGGUAAUACGUAGGUGGCAAGCGUUGUCCGGAUUUAUUGGGCGUAAAGCGAGCGCAGGCGGUUUUUUAAGUCUGAUGAGAAAGCCUUCGGCUCAACCGAAGAAGUGCAUCGGAAACUGGGAAACUUGAGUGCAGAAGAGGACAGUGGAACUCCAUGUGUAGCGGUGAAAUGCGUAGAUAUAUGGAAGAACACCAGUGGCGAAGGCGGCUGUCUGGUCUGUAACUGACGCUGAGGCUCGAAAGUAUGGGUAGCAAACAGGAUUAGAUACCCUGGUAGUCCAUACCGUAAACGAUGAAUGCUAAGUGUUGGAGGGUUUCCGCUCUUCAGUGCUGCAGCUAACGCAUUAAGCAUUCCGCCUGGGGAGUACGGCCGCAAGGCUGAAACUCAAAGGAAUUGACGGGGGCCCGCACAAGCGGUGGAGCAUGUGGUUUAAUUCGAAGCUACGCGAAGAACCUUACCAGGUCUUGACAUACUAUGCAAAUCUAAGAGAUUAGACGUUCCCUUCGGGGACAUGGAUACAGGUGGUGCAUGGUUGUCGUCAGCUCGUGUCGUGAGAUGUUGGGUUAAGUCCCGCAACGAGCGCAACCCUUAUUAUCAGUUGCCAGCAUUAAGUUGGGCACUCUGGUGAGACUGCCGGUGACAAACCGGAGGAAGGUGGGGAUGACGUCAAAUCAUCAUGCCCCUUAUGACCUGGGCUACACACGUGCUACAAUGGAUGGUACAACGAGUUGCGAACUCGCGAGAGUAAGCUAAUCUCUUAAAGCCAUUCUCAGUUCGGAUUGUAGGCUGCAACUCGCCUACAUGAAGUCGGAAUCGCUAGUAAUCGCGGAUCAGCAUGCCGCGGUGAAUACGUUCCCGGGCCUUGUACACACCGCCCGUCACACCAUGAGAGUUUGUAACACCCAAAGUCGGUGGGGUAACCUUUUAGGAACCAGCCGCCUAAGGUGGGACAGAUGAUUAGGGUG